GAAUCGGAGGAAGAGGAGGAGAUGGAGAGCGGCGACGAGGCGAUCCGAUGACCCCUCGCUCGACCCCCGCCGCCGACAGUGCCAGUGGGUGAAGAGGCGAUCGAGGACGCCGCGCAGCGCGGGGGCGCCUGAGGCCGGGAUCUCCGGCGGCACGUCCGCGGUCGUGGGCCCCGGGAUGGAUCCGGAUGGGGACGACUGCGGUGGCGGGCCGUAGCAGGAUCUGCAGGAGCUCGCAUGGAGGAGGGUCAAUGGUGGCGGCGUGCCGCCUAGAGGAGUAUGUCGACAUCCGCUGGGGCUCUCUGGCAGCGGCAGGAGUAGGGACUGACUCCAAACCUCCCUCCGCCACCACGACCACUGCUCCCGAGCCUCACAUCCCAACAUCAGCUAGGAUUAUCUUUUAUUUCUACUUCAGCCUAUGGUAGUUUGUGGGAGCGGUUGCAGAUUUCCAAGGAUGAUCAGUUUUCUACAGGCAAGAUCCCAUUCUUGGUUGAGGUUUCUUAAACUAUAGCUUCAUCAUUCAUGUUGUUGUUUCCCAUUUAUACAUGUCUUGUCAGCCUUGCUGGUUCUGUUGGUUAUCUUCCUUGCAGCCUAUGGAAGUUUGUGGGAGCGGUUGCAGAUUUCCAAGGAAGAGCAGUUUGCUACAAGAAAGAUCCCAUUCUUGGGAGCAUCACGGCGUAUGUUCUGCUGGGUAGUAGAUACACGGCUUGAGGAUUCAUGUCCGGGCACCUAUCCUGCCUGUUAUGUGCAACCAUAGGAUUUCAUAUAUUUCCCUUGAGGAGGGCUGCAGCAGGAGUGUGCAAAUCUGCAAGGCUGUGCACGAGCUCGAGGAUGGCGCCGAUGGGUCAGCCAACUCCCGCGGCAGAUAUUUCUUGGAUGGGCUCUGUGGAUUUUGUGUUCUGCUACUGCCAGGUUCAAAUGGGAGUUGAGAGUACCAUGUGCGGCGUCAACCAAAGUGUGCACUUUUUCUUUGUUCUUAAGAAAUCAAUUGUAGUGGUGCAAGCUCUGGCUCAGAGGAGGUGUUUUGAUGGCCUGUGGCAUAUUUCACCGAGGAGGCUCAUCAGCAUGAGUUCCAGGAGGAAUACAGUGCAAGUGAGCUUUACCUGGCAAGUUCAUGAGCAAGAAAAUAUGGUUUGAGAAUAUACCUUUCACGUUGAAGAGGCGGUGCCAUCUAGUUGCCGGUAACUGCGUGUUGAAUCUUCUGCUGGAUGCCAUAUGUCCGAUAAAAUGCCUGGGAGAAGCACCACUAGCACGGUUGAUCUAUGUUCAUAAUGCAUGGGUGUCCAAGGCUAUGUUCCUACUUUGGCUCAUUGGCAGCUUCACAUAUCGUCUUUACAAUCAGGCUAUUAACUGCUUACUUCUCCAAGUUCAGUCCAUGGUGCAGAAACUGAAAAGUUAUUUAGUUAGUUUUAAUGGAUAGAAACCAUAUGUCCAGUGCAUUCUCUAUAAAACUAGGUCAAGUAAUAAUGUCUCAUGUUGCGUUGUUUCAGUUCCUGAGGGUCCUGGAGAGGGAGCUAGCUGUAACUGCGAAGACCAAAGAGGCUUUCUUUGCAGACUUCACCCAGCCUUGGUCAAACCUUGCAGGGAAUGUUUGGCGCUGAUUUCACGUUACGACAGGUAAUUAGAUUAUUGAAACUUCAUGGGGGUAGAAAUUUGUAGAAUGGGUAGUUACGCAAAUCUCAGCUUUUCUUUGUACUUUCUCUUCUUCUACGUUACUGAACAGAAAAUGUUGCCUGCCUAAGGUGCGUCUUAGCUUCCAAAUACAAGAUGUGUUUCCAGUUUUAAUGACUCCCGUCACAUAGUACUUCUCUAAAUAUCUUUAGGAGCUCGGAAGUAAAGAGUAUAAAUUAAGACCAUGGAGCGCAAUGUUGAUUAGAAUUAUUAAAAUUUCUAUAGCUUUGAGGACUGACAGAAUGAUAUGGCUGGGUGUUUGGAACCUUGAUUGGUAUGUUUGAUUCCAAUAUGUACUUAUUUUCGUGUCCCUCUCUGUUGCAACAGCUUUCAUGAAACAGUAUUGUUACAAGACUACGAUUUCAGUCUUAUAGAUUAACUAACUGGAGACACCCCUUCUUUAUUUCAUGUUUAUAAGAGAAAAAAUAAUCAUUUCGUCCGUCCGAUCUACCCGUCGGCAAUCUUAAACUAGGUUUCAACCAACUAGAACAAUUUCCCUGUUUCUUACGGAAAUUAUACUCUUUCUGUAUUCCCCUUUUCACACAAUAAAUGUGAUUUGUAUGCAAAUAUUUUCUCGAAACAAAAAUUAGUUACAACAAGGUUCUCAAUGAAGCCAAUUUAAGGGAUAAUGAUGCAAAUAUGAGAUGAAUUUUGCACUCACUUCAUGGUAGACAAUUCCAAAGUAUUGCAUGUUCUCAGCUAGGCCUCAUGUUCCAAUCAAUCCAGAGUUACUUUUGCAGGGAAGAGGUUGCACUAUUUUGCUUGCUGGUACCUCUGUUUUUCAGCUGCAGCCCCGCAGGUCGUUCGUCCUCAAUCCAUUGUACAAAAAGUAAUUUACAUAAUUCAUGGACAGUGUAACUCUGCAGCAUUUUUGGUAUCGUUCGUGGCACUUAAGUUCUUUCGACAUGAUAUAUGCAGGUUCCCGAUUUGGAUUGUCAGCGCACAUUAAAAUUCAGCUGGCAACGAAGAUGUUAAUAACAUAUUUCAUCGACAUGCCAAGUUGAAGGAGAAGAGAGCCAAACCCUCAGCUCCUUAGGUUUCUUGAUACGAAUUUCUUUCUUCAUACCAUGGCGCAGUUGGACUUUAUGUACUGUUGUAUCAUGUUAAUAGAUCUUCAGUGAUUCGUGGUGGAACAUACUGCUAUAUAAUAGGUCAAGACAUCAUUUCCAAAUACAGAGCUGUCCAUCCAAAUUUGUGCAUCUAGCCAAGCAAUUCUUGAUGUUGCUUUGAGCUAGCUGUAUGGUUCAGAGAUGGUUCUUCAUUUCGGCUUCUCUUCAUUUGUGGCUUAUACUGGCUGCUUCUUUCAGAGCUUAUGUGUUCCCUCCUUUCUAACUCCCCGAUCCAUCGAGUAUUCAUAAGUCGUUGUUUGCAAGUUGCAGAUCAACCAGAAAGCCUUUGCGCAACCCAACGACGGCUAUAGUGCUGCUUUUCAUCUUGUACAUGAAGUUAGCCUGUUCUUCUGGAUGUUCCCGCACUAGCUUCUGGCCAUGCUACCUUAUAAUAUGCAAUUAGCAAUAUCCACCAAGUGAUUGAGGUGCCACAUGUUUGCUUUUGUAUGCGUCUUAGGUUAAUUAUUUUAUCUAAGAACUUCAAAUCGAAGACUCCAAGUAGCAUGUUUAUGUAGCACCCAGACAAUGCUUCUAUCUAACAACUUCGAAUCAAAAUAUCCAAAUUGUUUCUUCUGUUGCAUGAAGCUGGUAAUGUAAUUUGUGCAUUUAAGCACCAUAUCUUUCAUA